rnacentral:rRNA from 1 species
GGUGGCAGCAGCCGCGGGAAUACCAGCUCUCCGAGUGGUGUGGAUGUUAUUGGGCCUAAAGCAUCCGUAGCUGGCUAGGUAAGUCCCUGUUAAAUCCACGAAUUAAUCGUUGGAUCGCGGGGGAUACUGCUUGGCUAGGGGACGAGAGAGGCAGACGGUAUUUUCGGGGUAGGGGUGAAAUCCUAUAAUCCCGGGGAAGACCACCAGUGGCGAAGGCUGUCUGCUAGAACGCGCCCGACGGUGAGGGAUGAAAGCUGGGGGAGCGAACCGGAUUAGAUACCCGGGUAGUCCCAGCUGUAAACGAUGCAGACUAGGCGUUUGGACGGCCACGUGCCGUUCUAGUGCCGCAGGGAAGCUGUUAAGUCUGCCGCCUGGGGAGUACGAUCGCAAGAUUGAAACUUAAAGGAAUUGGCGGGGGAGCACCACAAGGGGUGAAGCCUUGCGGUUUAAUUGGAGUCAACGCCGGAAAUCUCACCGGGAGCGACAGCAGUAUGAAAGCCAGAUUGAAGGUCUUGCUAGACGAGCUGAGAAGAGGUGCAUGG